CUCAUUGGUGACCUCUCAAAGCCCCUCAUCCCUCCUCAGCACCUGUCCCUCUUAGCUGGGGGGACAGUGUCUACCCUGAUAGCCCAGUGUCCAGGAAGUGUGGCCCUCUCGAGGGGACAAGCUUUCCGUGGGGUCUGGGCCCAAAGCCCCUUCCUCUACCUCCCUGGGAGGUCUGAAGCUGGGCUCCAAGGCAGAGACCCUGAGGUUGGGCCCCAGGGACGUGGAGGUGUGUGGCCUCAGCUGCUCAUCUGAACAAAUGCCUUUUGUAUCAAUCAUUUAGCACCUCUAAUUUCUAGGCUUUUCUAGCAAGAGUCUUUUAGGAGACACAGGCCACGAUACUGUCAACAUAGGAAAAUGUGCAACUCCUGCGUCCCACCGUAAAACUCGAAGACGUCAAAAUACAUUCUUGAUUCUGCUCCACAAAGGGAUGUUUCCAUGGCGAUAUUUUCAAACAACAGAAAGUUCACGGCCGAUGGCGGUUACAGCUCAUGGAACUGAUGGGCAGGGCCGGGUGCAGCUUUGUAGCACGGCUGCUGCUCACAGAUUCUCUUCCAUUUGACUAAAAACCAUGCUGUCCACACCAAACAUCUGGCCUCAUCCGGAUGUUCAAAGCCAUGAAAUACAGCACUUCUGGCCAAGAAGUCUAAAUCACAGCCGAUCUACACGAGGCGGAUGGUCCACAACGCCAAGUUCCUACCCGGGCACUGAGCUCAACGCUCGCACAACUCCAAACGAGGGCGCAACCAUAUUCCCACUGACAUCCUCCUUGGGGCAGCAAGACAAGCUCCGAACAGCCUGUCCUGGGCCAACAAGAGAAGCUGGCGGGCGCCCGCUGAGCACUGUGAGCCAUCUUGUGGUGAGACUGGCUUCUCCUUCCAAUCUCCAGGUUUCUCUCUCUUUCUGCCUUCUUUCUGUCAGUUACCGUCAUUGAUCACUUAAAGAAAGACAGGGCCUACCCCUGUCUGCUGCGUGACCUCAGCCCUCCCGCCUGCCGAUGGGAGCUGGGUCAUCUCUUACGCCUUUCAGCUUUGGCUUCUUCCGCAGUGUAUGUGAAGGGGUCACACAGAGCAUCCAGCGGUCACCAUGGUGAACAAGAAGCCAGGAAGGAAGGAAGCAAUGUCGGCAAAAGGGCUCAGAUGACAACCAAACAGAACGGUUUCCCACCCUGGGCCUCCUUUCCACACACACAGCAUCGUGGGUAUUUUAAAA
ensembl:lncRNA novel transcript, antisense to ANKRD11